AGUAGCCUGGGGUGUACGAUGAUCCUGCUGUUUUGAACCUACAUUUAUGUAUACGGGAUACCAUAUAUCAAGAAUAUGUCAGGCCUCCGUUUGCAGUGGAAGACAGAAAACUUGACGAGGUAACCCACUUGGCGUCGGGUUAGGCGUCAAAAGGCAGGAGACGGCACUCUGGGUAUAUU
rnacentral:other from 1 species